rnacentral:rRNA from 1 species
CCUACGGGAGGCAGCAGUGAGGAAUAUUGGUCCAUGGACGAGAGUCUGAACCAGCCAAGUAGCGUGAAGGAUGACUGCCCUAUGGGUUGUAAACUUCUUUUAUAUGGGAAUAAAAUGUUCCACGUGUGGGAUUUUGUAUGUACCAUAUGAAUAAGGAUCGGCUAACUCCGUGCCAGCAGCCGCGGUAAUACGGAGGAUCCGAGCGUUAUCCGGAUUUAUUGGGUUUAAAGGGAGCGUAGGUGGAUUGUUAAGUCAGUUGUGAAAGUUUGCGGCUCAACCGUAAAAUUGCAGUUGAAACUGGCAGUCGUGAGUACAGUAGAGGUGGGCGGAAUUCGUGGUGUAGCGGUGAAAUGCUUAGAUAUCACGAAGAACUCCGAUUGCGAAGGCAGCUCACUGGACUGCAACUGACACUGAGGCUCGAAAGUGUGGGUAUCAAACAGGAUUAGAGACCCGUGUAGUC